UACGUAGGGUGCAAGCGUUAAUCGGAAUUACUGGGCGUAAAGCGUGCGCAGGCGGUUAUGUAAGACAGUUGUGAAAUCCCCGGGCUCAACCUGGGGACUGCAUCUGUGACUGCAUAGCUAGAGUACGGUAGAGGGGGAUGGAAUUCCGCGUGUAGCAGUGAAAUGCGUAGAUAUGCGGAGGAACACCGAUGGCGAAGGCAAUCCCCUGGACCUGUACUGACGCUCAUGCACGAAAGCGUGGGGAGCAAACAGG
rnacentral:rRNA from 1 species